rnacentral:rRNA from 1 species
AUGAUAUAUGCUACACACAUCCCCAAAAGGGAGCGCAAGCGCGCACUCAGGGACGUCUAUGCGGUAGAGCCAGUCACCCCAAAAUUCAACCCAUGGUCGUCAUUCCCGAUCACCUUUGAUCGUCGAGAUCAUCCAACUAGUAUCCGUGAUGGCGGUUCGGCCGCAUUGGUACUCGACCCAAUCAUCGGCGGAUUUCACAUGACACGAGUCCUAAUGGACGGUGGCAGCAGCCUCAACCUGCUCUAUCAGGAUACAGUACGCAAAAUGGGCAUUAAUCCCUCACGAAUCAAGCCCACGAUAACUACUUUAAAGGAGUCAUACCAGGCAUAG